AUCACUUCUUGGCCUUUUGGCUAAAGUCAAGUGUAGUAUCUGUUCUUAUCAGUUGAAUAUUUGAUAUGCCCCCCUGGACUUUCCCCUUGUGGGACAAAUAAAGGCAUAUCAUAGUUCAGUUUGUAGUCUCAAGCUAUGGUUACUCAUGGGGUGUUGUGUUUUGUUAAAUCCCUUAUAUAAAUGUAACAUGUUUUUCU
ensembl:snRNA U2 U2 spliceosomal RNA